UACGUAGGGGGCUAGCGUUGUCCGGAAUCAUUGGGCGUAAAGAGCGCGUAGGCGGCUGGAAUAGUCCGGUGUGAAAUCCACAGGCUUAACCUGUGAAUGCCGCUGGAAACUGUCUGGCUAGAGUCCGGAAGGGGCGAGUGGAAUUCCUGGUGUAGCGGUGGAAUGCGCAGAUAUCAGGAGGAACACCAAUAGCGAAGGCAGCUUGCUGGGACGGUACUGACGCUAAGGCGCGAAAGCGUGGGGAGCGAACAGG
rnacentral:rRNA from 1 species